GGGAACCUGAUGCAGCCAUGCCGCGUGUGUGAAGAAGGCCUUCGGGUUGUAAAGUCAGUUGUGAGGAAAGGGUGGUCGUUAAUACCGGGAUCUGUGACGUUAGCAACAGAAGAAGCACCGGCUAACUCCGUGCCAGCAGCCGCGGUAAUACGGAGGGUGCGAGCGUUAAUCGGAAUUACUGGGCGUAAAGCGUGCGUAGGCGGAUUGUUAAGCGAGAUGUGAAAGCCCCGGGCUCAACCUGGGAACUGCAUUUGAACUGGCAGUCUAGAGUAUUGUAGAGGGUGGUGGAAUUUCCAGUGUAGCGGUGAAAUGCGUAGAGAUUGGAAGGAACAUCAGUGGCGAAGGCGGCCACCUGGACAGAUACUGACGCUGAGGCACGAAAGCGUGGGGAGCAAACAGGAUUAGAUACCCUGGUAGUCCACGCCGUAAACGAUGUCAACUAGCUGUCUGUGGACUUGAUCUGUGGGUAGCGUAGCUAACGCGCUAAGUGACCGCCUGG
rnacentral:rRNA from 1 species